rnacentral:lncRNA from 1 species
GGCAGUUUUUUUCUUCUUCUCUUUUUCUUUUUCUUCUUCUCUUUUUCUUUUUGCUUUUCCUUCGAAAACCCAACGACCGUGGCCAUAAAUGGUGAUAAUAAAUGAUCGUUGUUGACAUUCUUCUUCUUCUUCAUGGUUUCAUGCUCUCUGUACCUGAUCAAAGAAUUAAAGUGUUAACACAGAAGCAGGGAGUAAAAGAAGGAUGGAUGGGAGAUGGAUACCGAUCCAAAGACAGAAACUGACAUGGAAACAUGCAUGCUCUAUUGCUCUUCUUCUUUUCCCUAUCUGGGUCUGUAUUGGAUGUGUAAAUGAAGCUUUUUGUUAGCCUUGUUACCCAAGAAAGAUGAUUAAUCAAUGAAGGAUCAUUAAUUGACUGGCUUUUAUUUUUUUUACCUGACUGGAUUUUGUAAGGAAGAACAGGACAGUGGCUUUUUCUGUAAAUACAGACUGGAGCAGAGUGAAAAUUUCAAAAAAUUUUGUAGUGGUCUUCUGUCAUCUGUGCUU